AUUGAACGCUGGCGGCAGGCCUAACACAUGCAAGUCGAGCGAGAGGCGGACGGGUGAGUAAUGUCUGGGCAACUGCCUGAUGGAGGGGGGUAACUACUGGAAACGGUAGCUAAUACCUCAUACCAUCCGCUGUGCCCAGAUGGGAUUAGCUAGUAGGUGGGGUAAUGGCCCACUUAGGCGACGAUCCCUAGCUGGUCUGAGAGGAUGACCAGCCACACGGGAACUGAGACACGGUCCAGACUCCUACGGGAGGCAGCAGUGGGGAAUAUUGCACAAUGGGCGCAAGCCUGAUGCAGCCAUGCCGCGUGUGUGAAGAAGGCCUUCGGGUUGUAAAGUACUUUCAGCGGGGAGGCGUUACCCGCAGAAGAAGCACCGGCUAACUCCGUGCCAGCAGCCGCGGUAAUAC
rnacentral:rRNA from 1 species